GGAAUCGAAUUCCGCUUCCUCGCAAUAUCCUAGAAUAUCAAAUAUUGAAAUUAUAAGCUUUUAUUCAGUCUUUAGACUCGAACACAUUGAGGUUUAUCUAAUAUAUUGCUAGUUUACUUUCCCAUAGUAAUUUCAAAAAUCUACUUAGAUUGAAACUUGACACAAAUAGUAGAAAUGUUUCUUAUAAUUUUCCUUGAGGUACUUUUCCUUAUAAAAAGGGUAACUAGUAUAAAUUUUCUGGAAAUAAGUCGACAAACCUCUUAAUAUCAAUGUUAGAAAGUUACUUUGAACAUUUCUUUAAAGCUAUGGUUCCUGCAAAAAUUAUUACUAAAACUAUUUUACCCUAAAAUAAGGUUUCUUGCCGAGCAAGUUUCCCAUGCUUUUCCCCAGAAUUAUUACAACUCGUAUUUUGGAACUUUUCCUAUAGUUAACUAUAGCUUAAGGAAAGAAAAUGAAUUAAAAUAAGACUUAGAAUUUUCAAAAGCUAUAUAACUUAUUUACUAAUCGAGGCUAGUUUGAGCUAAAGGAAAUUAUCGAGUUGGAAAGUUUUAUAAUAUAAUACUAGCUGGAAAAAUAUUUCUGAUUAAUUUGAUCACAGCUACUCAAGUUCGCAAGGUCGAUACAACUUCCACAGCUCCGAUUCCGUUUCGAAAUUAUAAUAUGGAUCAAAAUAUGACAAAAAUCACAUAGCAAAUUACUAGGGCUUCGUCAAUCAUUAGCCCUAGAUUUCAACAAGUGCAUUUCUGAAUAAAAUAAAAUGAUCAACCAAGGCUUCAUCAAUCAUUAGCACUUGGUUUCAGCAAGCCCAUCAUAAGCAACUAAAAAUAAAAUAAAAGUAAAGCCUCCAAGACAUUCCAGCAAUUAACUUUCGUCACCCUGUAGUACUUAGAAAAUCAUUCAAAUGGCCAAGAGCUUCAUCAAUCAUUAGCUCUUGAUAGCAACCAAUCACUUUCAAACCAAAAUUUCAACUAGAAACAAGGAGUAAAGUCACGGCUAAUUUAACGCUUAAAUAACUCGAGAAAUUCAGAUUACCACCAUAGCAUUUUACUAGGCUCAAUGCCAUUCACAUACCAGAAAAUUUUAGCAUGUAAGCUUCACUUGAAAUUCAGAAAUUCAAAUCACAGAUAGGCCCAACAUUCGAUUCAAGUCAAAAUUCAUUUUCCUGAAGAAACAGGACAUUAAGUCAAGACAGCCUACUUUGAGGAGUCACGUACAGCCGUACACAUGGAGGAAAAAUAUAAAAUUUCUACAGAACCAAGGCCCAUGUUUCUAGUUUCAAAUGCCACUGACGGCACCUUAAACGGAUUUUUCUACACCAAGAUAUAAGCAUUUUACUGAAAUUGGUCAGGGACAUCCAAAAAUCUGAAAUGUCAUUUUUCACAUGUGAAAAACUCCUUUUUCUCUUUUUGCACCAAAAUGUUUUUAUUCAAACCAUCCAUACAUUUCUUAUAUAAUUCCAAAACAACAUAUUCCAGGCAUUUCCAUCCCUCAUGAUUUGAAGGAAAUUUUCGAAACUAAGUUGAGCUUCCAACUCAACCUUCGGCCAUCACAAAGGAAAUUCCAGCAUUUGUAUACUAACCUCUUUAAUUCAAUCCUUCAAUAUAUUAAAUAUUUCCUCGCCAAACCACUUAAAUUUUGCAUCUCUUAUGUAGCUCAAGACCAUCAUAGUCCAAGGAAACAAUAAAAUUAAAUGUUCAGAAACCAUUUAAACUUUCUAAAGGCAAACUGAAAUUUCUGGUUCAACCUUGCUUGCGGCUUCAAAGAUUUCCAGCAAACAAUUCAACUUUAGUUCAAAUUUCCUUGGUUUAAACAUGGUGUUAGUUACUCAAUUCAACAUUUUAAACACCUAGUUAGUUACUAAAAUUUUCCACUUUCAAAAUUGAGUUCAAACUAUCAUUAUUAACAUCAAAAUUUCCAGAAAUUUUCCUGCUUGGGCUCGGGUGAUCAUGCCUUGAAGCAGAAUGUACUCUUAACCUUUAUUUCUCUGAUUUAAAACUUACUAAUCAACUACAUGCAGGGCCUAAUUAACUUGUUAUUAGUCAUCUAAUCAUGGUUAUAAGUUUAAACAACAACACUAAACCAAAUCAGGUUGCAAAGCUUUAAGCUAAGCUCUCGGCCAAACCAGAAAUUCUUCCAGCAUUUGUUUAGUCACAAACCAUUUUUUUUCUAUGGUUAAUUCCUGUAUUUUGCACUUAAUUUCACAUGCACAACUGCUGAAUUUAACUAGCUAUCAUAUCCAGACCAGAAAUCAGUUUGAUAGCAACCAAAUUGAACCAAGUUAAGCUGUAAUAAUUAAGCUAGGCUCUCGGCAGAAUUUUCUUACCCCAAACUAACCCAGAAAUUUAUCUCUGCUUUAACACUUCAUUCGAAUGCCCAAUUCAUCAUACAUGGUCUUAAUCUUCCAAUUCUUACUCAGCUAAAGACAUUUGGGUGUUCAGAUUAUCACACAAAACAAAAUUGGAGCUGCAAUAACACCUCAAGUCUCGGUAGCAACAAUUUCUCAAAACAGAAAUUUUCCUAAGGUUUUGAUUUCAGCAUCCGAUUGUAUAAUCUAAACAUGUAAUCUCUGAUAUAGCUUGAUCAACUAAUAAUCAACCUAUUUUAGACCAGAAAUUACCUCAGCUAGCAACCAAUCUUUCACACGAAAUUCCAGAAAUUUCCUUCCUAGCUCUCGGCCAAGUGCAGAUGGUGAUUCUGGUUUGGAGUUGCGGCUGAAAAGGGUUGUGGAUGAAGGUAGAAUUGGUGAAGCUUCCGGCAGAUUCCCUUCCCUGGCUUUGCUCCAACUCACGGCUGAAUCCAAGAAGUUUCCGGCAGCUCUCUCCCUCUCUCGGUGCUCUCGGUCAAGGCAGGGAAGAAAUGAGGUUUUGUUGUGAAUCAAGAAUGAAAGAGUAGAGUGGUAUUUGGAGUGAAGUUGAUUUCGACUUUGGUUUGUGCAGAGAAAGAGUCGGCUGAAAUGGUUGUGAGAUGUAGUGUGAAUUUGAUCAAGUGGUUUUGUGGUGCCGCGGUUUACGAAAGGUUGCGUAUCGAAUUGGUUAAAAUGCAAUUGGUCGAAGUUGCGGUGAUGGGAAUUUGUCAUAAGGGUCGUUUGGUUUCGCAUGGAAUUGUAAGGUCUUUUGGUCUUUUCACUUGGUUUCCUAAUCUCAACUUAAUUUCUCAAAUUUAUCCUCAAGGGUGAUUUGAACGCCUAAUAACCCCUCCCAAUAUACUUAACCAUUUUUAUCGAAUAAAUAUCGAUUAAACUUAAAUAUUAAGGUUCCUAACAUUAUAUAGCGAUUAACUUAAUUAUCCGCAUCUCCAAUUGUUUAUUCUCAAGAAUUAAAGUUAUCCUACACAAAAUUUAUCGAAUUUUCAUGCCUUAAGUAUGUUUAGUAUAGGAAUAUCAUAUUUAUCUAAAAUUCAUUGAUUUUUAUCUUAACGCGGAAAUUCCUAUAAACAUUUAACAUUAUUAACGAUUAAAACUAGCUAUCGGAAAUCAAAGAAUUUAUUUUAAAGUAAUAGAAUUAAUCCAACUCAAGAAAUAUUAAUUUAGUAUAGCAAAACCGAAUAAUUCAAUAUUGGCACAAUUAUAUUAUUUAUUACAUAGAAAUUAUCUUUACCCUUUUAUUUCAAAACAAUUAAUUACAAUACUAGAAUUCAAAAAAAUUAAUUAUUAGAUCAAUGAAAUAGUUUACCAUUGAAAUAUGAAGUUAAUGUAACAAAACUAAGAAGUUUAGUAGUUUAGCACAAUUCUUUUAUUUUGCACAUAACGUUUAUUUCUACGUACUUACUUAAAAACAAUUGGACUUAGUGCUAAAAUUUAUUAAAGAAUUAAAAUGCAAAUAAAAUAUGCACUGAUAUUUAUAUGUCUAUUUUCAGGGUUCUCACAUCCUCCCCUCCUUAAAAUGAAUUUUGUCCUCAAAAUUCUUACUUUCUUGAGAAACAAAUCGGAAUACUUUUUCUGCAUUUCUUCUUCUAACUCCCAAGUUGCUUCUUCGGAAAUCCAAAGUUCCAAUACUUUUGUUCUGCAAUCAAGCUUAGCAUGGUGAUGAGCUAGAAAAUUCUUUCAUAUAAUAACAUCAUAACCUCGUAUGUCCAAUUUGAUUAGAUCCACUAGUAUUUUAUGCCCUUCAAUCCAGAAUUCACAGUUAUUAUAAGUUAAGCUACUGAUUAAAAUCUUAUUACCCAUUGAUGUUUUAACUUCAAGGUCAAGGGUAAUCUAACAGGUUUGACGUUAACUCCGGAUGGAAAAGUUUGGUUCACAAAUGAAUGAGUUGCGCUAUGAUCAAUUAACACUCUAGCUAAUUGAUGAGAAAUGGGAAGAGUACCUUCCACGGCUUCCGAAGAAUCAGGUACAGGUUGGUCAUUUAUAGCGUAAACCCUGGUAGGAACUUUCGGCCUAUUCUCUCUAAUGUUGGCUGGUUCAUCAUUCAGGGUAUUAUCCUCUUGUAUUUUCGGGCAACCGGCAAUUUGGUGCUCGCUGCUUCCACACUUCAAGCACUUUCCUGCUUUCCUCCAGCAACCGGCCUCGGUAUGUCCAGGUUUCUUGCAAUACCCACAAGUUCCCAGGAAAGUUAUCGCACGACUUCCUUGUGGAGCGUUCCUAGGUUGACCUCUUCCAUUUGGUCCCCCGUUAGUUCCAUUAUUUCUUCCUCCGGCACCUCUGGCACCAGUUCCUCGACCCACUUUGGCCAGUGGAGCAUUUGUAUAAGUCGGCUCCCGACUGCUGCUAGGUGCAAAUCUUUUCUUGGCCUGGUAAGUUUUUACUUGAGUUCUAGCAACUUCAACCCUUUGAGCUCUUUCUACAGCAUCAGCAAAUGUGUCUAUCCGAACAGCAGCUAAUCCCUCCUGAAUUUCCACGUUUAGUCCCUGCACAAACCUCCGGACACGCCUUUGUUCCGUGGCUAUCAGUUCAGGAGCAAAUCGGGACAAUUUUGUGAACUGGACUUCAUAUUCGGCGACACUCAUCGCCCCUUGUUUACAUUUUAUGAAGUCGUCCUCUCUCUUUUCUUGAAUGAGAGGUGGAAGAAAUUUGGCGUUGAACUCCCUUGUGAAGUUCGCCCAGGUCCUGGGAAUAUGAUUCCUGUCCCAAUUGACCCUAAUUAGGUUCCACCAGGAACGAGCAGCUCCUUCAAACUGGAAUGCUGCAAAAGUCACUUGCCUCUCUUCCGUAUAAUUUAGAGCGGCAAAAAUAUCAGAGAUCCUUUCCCACCAACCUUCGGCUACCUCAGGUUCUGGGCCUCCGUAGAACUUAGGAGGUCCAAACUUCAGGAAUCUCUCUAAUGCCCGAUCCUCGUAAUCGAUUGGGCCUCCUUGCUGAUGCACCGCUCCAUGGGCUUGAUGCUCAGUCAUGCGCUCUAACACAUCAGUUAUUCUAUUGAUUGCGGUGGCCACUGGAUCUCCGGCCACGUUUCCCUGACCAUGGCCUGGGUUGGCCUCAGGUUCCCUAUCACUACCACCCUCGGGGUGUUGCCUAGUUGGUCUCCCACGUCCUCUAUUUCUAACUUGUAGAUCCAUAGCCUAGUUAUGCCUAUUGAUAAAAAUAAAGUGAUCAAGCGAAGAUGUUGCUAUUUAUUUACUUGUUAUUAUUAAGUGAAGUCAACAUGAAUACCAAGAGAAAGAAAAUUUAAAACACUUAAAGCAUAUAUUCACAUACCAAAGUUCAUACAACUUUAAAAGCCAAACAAUUCACGGUACAUUUAAUAUUUUCACACAUAACUCAUAUUUCGAUCUUUAUAAACAUGAAGGAAAGCAAGUCAAUAAUACACCGAUUAUUAUAACCACAUAACUAAUAGCUCAACCCUUAGUUUAGAUUCAACUUAACCUUCAUUAGUUUAGUCUUUGACAAUCCCACUAGGCCCCACUCAUUCUUCCGAUUUCGCUUCCAUAAAUUCCUCUUAAAUACGUAAUUGGCACUAAUCUUCAAGAUCACACCAUUGGCUCUUUACCUUUAACUUUCAAAAGUUAGACUUGAUUCCUUCAAUCCUACUUUUCCAAACUUAGUCAUGAUUUCUAGUCACAUCAUAAUGCGAUAUACUGAAUUCUUUUCAAUUGCAAAUACACCAUUUAAUGAAAUAUCUGGUAUUCGGGUACAAGAAUCUGACUAUAGGAUAAUUCACACCUCAGGCUGGCCAGUCCCAAGAGUAACUUACCUAUAUUUGAGAUUCCUACCCAACAUACAUGUCUAAUAUCCCAACUAUAAACUUUUGUUCCACACUUAACGAGUCAAUCCCCACAGUCCGAGAGUCCUCUCCCGGCACGAGCUCGAUAAGAGCUCUGAUACCACCUGUGGCGACCCCACUUUCCCCUAAGGCGAACCAAAGGGUUGGCGGGCCGUCUGCCCAUCUCUCGCCAGGACUCAUGCAAGCAUUCUAACCUAAAACCUUGGAGUAAUAAACUACUCUGUUACAAAACAAAUUUUCCCGAAUAAGAUCAUCCUUACAUCCAACUUAACUUCAGAGAUAGCAGAGAUAAAUUAGCCAGUCGAGGCUCUUAAACAUCCCACGUGCUACGUACCAAAAUAUAAAGUCGUACCAAUCCGGGUAGAUAAAUACAUAAAUCUCUAUUACAAAUUUACAGGCCAAGUAAUCGAAUUAGGGUUUACCCAUUUUCCCGUUUCAAGUGGCAACCCAAAAGAAAAGUGCAUUAUCUCAAUAACACAUUACAGCCCACAGAAUAAGUUAUAGCAUUCAAAUACAAUCCAAAAGGAAAACUUAAGUAAGCAUCCAGCUUUCAGUUUCCAGAACCUGUUAAGGAAAACAAUAAACGUGGGGUGAGCUAAAGCUCAGUGGUGCCCCAAAAACAUGCAAUCAAUUAAAACAAUUAACACGUAUUGAUUCGAUUGAAGUAAACAAAUAGGAAGGCGAUAAUACCCAAGUGUACCUUAGACUGGUCGAGGGAUUCACCCAACGACGUUACGUCCUGAACUUACAUUAUUAUUAUAGACUCGUCGAGGGAUUCACCCAACGACUUUACGUCUAGCACUUGAUUGAUUAUUAUUGACUCGUCGAGGGAUUCACCCAACGACUUUACGUCUAGCACUUGAUUUAUUAUUAUUGACUCGUCGAGGGAUUCACCCAACGACUUUACGUCUAGCACUUGAUUGAUUAUUAUUGACUCGUCGAGGGAUUCACCCAACGACUUUACGUCUAGCACUUGAUUCACAAAAAAAAUGUUUUACGCAAGUCACCACUCGAAAGGCUAGUGUGAUAAAGUACACAUUGCUCACUUCGAUGGGUCAAAACCACUUCAUAGUUAUAAUAUAGCAAGUUAAUAAAGCGCUUAACCACAUAACAUAAAACAAGCAGGGACACUCACCAAGAGUGAAGUUCAGAUGUCAAGUUGGGAAUCGAAUUCCGCUUCCUCGCAAUAUCCUAGAAUAUCAAAUAUUGAAAUUAUAAGCUUUUAUUCAGUCUUUAGACUCGAACACAUUGAGGUUUAUCUAAUAUAUUGCUAGUUUACUUUCCCAUAGUAAUUUCAAAAAUCUACUUAGAUUGAAACUUGACACAAAUAGUAGAAAUGUUUCUUAUAAUUUUCCUUGAGGUACUUUUCCUUAUAAAAAGGGUAACUAGUAUAAAUUUUCUGGAAAUAAGUCGACAAACCUCUUAAUAUCAAUGUUAGAAAGUUACUUUGAACAUUUCUUUAAAGCUAUGGUUCCUGCAAAAAUUAUUACUAAAACUAUUUUACCCUAAAAUAAGGUUUCUUGCCGAGCAAGUUUCCCAUGCUUUUCCCCAGAAUUAUUACAACUCGUAUUUUGGAACUUUUCCUAUAGUUAACUAUAGCUUAAGGAAAGAAAAUGAAUUAAAAUAAGACUUAGAAUUUUCAAAAGCUAUAUAACUUAUUUACUAAUCGAGGCUAGUUUGAGCUAAAGGAAAUUAUCGAGUUGGAAAGUUUUAUAAUAUAAUACUAGCUGGAAAAAUAUUUCUGAUUAAUUUGAUCACAGCUACUCAAGUUCGCAAGGUCGAUACAACUUCCACAGCUCCGAUUCCGUUUCGAAAUUAUAAUAUGGAUCAAAAUAUGACAAAAAUCACAUAGCAAAUUACUAGGGCUUCGUCAAUCAUUAGCCCUAGAUUUCAACAAGUGCAUUUCUGAAUAAAAUAAAAUGAUCAACCAAGGCUUCAUCAAUCAUUAGCACUUGGUUUCAGCAAGCCCAUCAUAAGCA
rnacentral:lncRNA from 1 species